rnacentral:rRNA from 1 species
UAGGGAAUCUUCCACAAUGGACGCAAGUCUGAUGGAGCAACGCCGCGUGAGUGAAGAAGGUUUUCGGAUCGUAAAGCUCUGUUGUUGGUGAAGAAGGAUAGAGGCAGUAACUGGUCUUUAUUUGACGGUAAUCAACCAGAAAGUCACGGCUAACUACGUGCCAGCAGCCGCGGUAAUACGUAGGUGGCAAGCGUUGUCCGGAUUUAUUGGGCGUAAAGCGAGCGCAGGCGGAAUGAUAAGUCUGAUGUGAAAGCCCACGGCUCAACCGUGGAACUGCAUCGGAAACUGUCAUUCUUGAGUGCAGAAGAGGAGAGUGGAACUCCAUGUGUAGCGGUGGAAUGCGUAGAUAUAUGGAAGAACACCAGUGGCGAAGGCGGCUCUCUGGUCUGCAACUGACGCUGAGGCUCGAAAGCAUGGGUAGCGAACAGGAUUAGAUACCCUGGUAGUCCAUGCCGUAAACGAUGAGCGCUAGGUGUUGGGGACUUUCCGGUCCUCAGUGCCGCAGCAAACGCAUUAAGCGCUCCGCCUGGGGGAGUACGACCGCAAGGUUGAAAC